CAGCCCGCCGCCGCCAUGGCCGCCCGGCCGCUCACCGAGGAGGCCUUCCACAGCCGGCCGCAGUCACGCUGCCCGCGACUAGGCCCCGUUAGGGGCGGAAGACGAGGGAGGCGGGCGGCCGCGUCGGCCCGAUAGGGGCUUCGCGGCGUGAGCGAACAGCUGCAGCCCGCAAGCGCGCCCCUACCCCGUGCUAGAGCCUAGCGCGCGCCCCGCGGCCGCCGGGACACUCCGCGCUCGCCGGGGCGGGCAGGAAGCGGCCGAGGAGAGGGACGGGCUGGAGAGGUCGGAGGUCAGCCGCAAGGCAUCGCGGGACGGCGGCCCCGGUGGAGGCGCUCGCCGGGGCCGCCUGCGACUGCGGCGCGGCUUCAGGCGGAGGGAUCUGGGCGAAGGAGGAGGCCGGCAGUGCACCAUAUUCCACUCCAGAGCCAGGAAACAAUGCUCAAAGAGAGGACCAGAGCACCCCACAAAGUGAAACGAAGCCAUUCUCGGUGCCAGCGAGGUCCCAAGCUCCUUGGAGGAUGAAAACUGCCAAGUUCAUCAGGAAAGCCAGCAUGACGAGCUCCUCCAAAACAACUAAGAGCUCCCCACAGCUUCUCUCAGCUCCCAACAGCCUCUCUCAGCUCCCAACAGUCUGCCUCUUAUGCUGCUGGCAACAGUCCUCAGUGACUUCCUAAGUGAUCUUCUAUCCUUGUUUUUCAUCAACCCCACAUUCUCCAGCAUAGCUCUUUCUAAAUACAAAUCUGGAGAGUCCCACUCCAGGGAAAAUGGAGUAGGCAAUAUUUUUUGCAUGUUGCUGUCACUAAGUACAACUGAAAAUCUUGCGCAUAAGAAAACUGAAAUGGAGAGAAGGAGGCAAAGUGGCUAAGUACCUCAGGAUCCGAGGACUGGCAUCUGAGUGGGCUCCUUGGGUUUCUCUUUAAAAAAUUUUUUUUCAGUACCGGGGAUUUUUUGUGUGUGUGGUACCAGGAAUUGAACUCACGACCUCGUGCUUGCCAGGCAGGUGCUGUGCCACUGAGCUAAAUCCCCAGCCCCAGUACUGGGGAUUAAACCUAGGGCCUAUGCACUGAGCUAUGCCCACAGAUAAUUUUAUAUUUUAAUUCAAGGCAAGGGGCUAAUUCACUAAGUUAGCUAGGCUGUGCUCGAACUUGUGACCCUUCUGCCUCAGCUUCCCAUAGUACUGGGAUCCCAGGUGUGCACCACCACCUCUGGCCCUGGGUUUUCUUUUAGCUUCAGUGUCCAGAAGCUGGCCAAUUGGAAAAAUCAACAAGCACAGAUUAAAAACAAUACAAAAUCCCCUAAAAAAGAAAAGCUGUUCUCCACCAAAGGAUCAGGAAAAGGGCAGCAUACCAAAACAGACCCCUUUUAAACAGCAACUAGUAUACUUUGCUGGACAAGGGAGAAAAAUCAGUGUCCUCCACCCAUCCACUCCAGGAAAGGCUUCGGAUGAAAACACCCGGGAGCGGCAUGUGGUUAAUGAGGUAAGACCUCAGGGUAGGAUUUCACAACCUGGCGGAAUAGCAGGGAGCAUCACUUGGUGAUGCAACUAAGCAAAACAUCUGAGUGCUGGCCACAGCCAGAGUGAUGUGGGUUGUAGGGAGGGAGGUGAGGAGGGACUAAUGAAGCCCAGAUGGAGUGUGCUGGUCUGUUUCCAUUCACGGCCAGGCUCAUCCUCUACAGGAGGAGAAAGUUGGCAUAUGAUGGGUCACUGUUGUGAGAUCUGGGAAAUCUGCGUUUGCUGGCUGGUUUUCUGAAGAGUAAAAAGAAAGGAAGGAGGGGAAGAAAAGGGCAGAACAAAUGAAAAACUAUGUUUUGUUCAUCUUUAUAACCAGACAUCUAGGGAAGUAUGGUCGUGUGUGUUCCGUAUCCAGAUGGAACAGCUGACGCUCAGCGAGAUUAAAUGACAGCAUGGCUAAGAAAAGGUAAAGCCCCUGUCCGGAUGAAAUUAAACUGAUUCCAAAGCCCAUUCCUAAACACAGGGACACAUCCAAAAAAGGAGGAAUCUUCACCAUUGUGCUGAUACAGCUAACAUAGUGACAAACUAUGUGACAAAAUAUGUUUAGUCUCAUCAGACCAUUCUAUGAUAAAAGUUAGUGUCCCCUCCUUGGAAUAUCCUUAUUUUAUAGCAGUAGACCCUUGAACAGAAAGACAAGUCUCCU
rnacentral:lncRNA from 1 species